rnacentral:rRNA from 1 species
AGAGAGAGACAUGCGCGCAUAUCAAUAAGCGGAGGAAAAGAAACUAACAAGGAUUCCCCUUAGUAACGGCGAGUGAAGCGGGAAGAGCUCAAAUUUGAAAUCUUCAAGGUUCUACCUUGACGAAUUGUAGUUUAAAGAAGUGUUUUCUGUUGAAGUUUUGGUAAAAGUUCUUUGGAAUAGGACAUCAUAGAGGGUGAGAAUCCCGUAUUUGACUAUUCUUUCUAGCUUUGUGAUACACUUUCAAAGAGUCCGGAUUGUUUGGGAAUGCAGUCCAAAAUGGGUGGUAAAUUUCAUCUAAAGCUAAAUAUUGGCGAGAGACCGAUAGCGAACAAGUACCGUGAGGGAAAGAUGAAAAGAACUUUGAAAAGAGAGUUAAACAGUACGUGAAAUUGUCAAAAGGGAAGCGUUUGACACCAGUGUUGUUUUCUCGAAAAUCAAUUAAAAAAUGGCUGGAUUUUGUGUUGUAUUGACUUUAUCAGCUUUCUGCACUCUUUUCUUGUCUUUUUUAAUGCACUUUUCGUUUAACAAGUCAACAUCAAUUUCUUUUGUUGUAAAAGGGUCAUUGGAAGGUGGCUUUCUUUUCGGAGAAAGUGUUUAUAGCCUUUGGCCUCUGCAAUCGGAGAGAUUGAGGUCUGCAGCGUAGAUCCUUCGGGGUUAGAUGCAUUUGUGCUAAGUUAUAGCCUUUCAUAGACAACUUGUUGACUAUGAUCAGUCAUGUAGCUUACUCGCUUAUGUCAUUUUACCUACGCUUAGGAUGUUGACAGCAGUAUAGACUGU